rnacentral:rRNA from 1 species
AUUGAACGCUGGCGGCAUGCUUUACACAUGCAAGUCGAACGGUAACAGGCCGCAAGGUGCUGACGAGUGGCGAACGGGUGAGUAAUGCAUCGGAACGUGCCCAGUCGUGGGGGAUAACGCAGCGAAAGCUGCGCUAAUACCGCAUACGAUCUAUGGAUGAAAGCGGGGGACCGUACGGCCUCGCGCGAUUGGAGCGGUCGCUGUCAGAUUGGGUAGUUGGUGGGGUAAAGGCUCACCAAGCCAACGAUCUGUAGCUGGUCUGAGAGAACGACCAGCCACACCGGGACUGAGACACGGCCCAGACUCCGACGGGGGGCAGCAGUGGGGAAUUUUGGACAAUGGGCGCAAGCCUGAUCCAGCAAUGCCGCGUGCAGGAAGAAGGCCUUCGGGUUGUAAACUGCUUUUGUACGGAACGAAACGGCUCUGGUUAAUACCUGGGGCUAAUGACGGUACCGUAAGAAUAAGCACCGGCUAACUACGUGCCAGCCGCCGCCGUAAAAC